rnacentral:rRNA from 1 species
CCUACGGGGGGCAGCAGUGGGGAAUAUUGCACAAUGGGGGAAACCCUGAUGCAGCAACGCCGCGUGAGUGAAGAAGUAUUUCGGUAUGUAAAGCUCUAUCAGCAGGGAAGAAAAUGACGGUACCUGAGUAAGAAGCCCCGGCUAACUACGUGCCAGCAGCCGCGGUAAUACGUAGGGGGCAAGCGUUAUCCGGAUUUACUGGGUGUAAAGGGAGCGUAGACGGCGAUGCAAGUCUGAUGUGAAAAUCCGGGGCCCAACCCCGGAACUGCAUUGGAAACUGUAUAUCUAGAGUGUCGGAGAGGCAA